AGAAGAUCCCAGUGGAUGUCUGCGGGCUGUGAGUUGGAGAGCAGCAAUGCUGCCUGCUCCUGGGGUGAUGCUCCUGUUGCAUCUUCCCCAUCUGCUCUGGUUCCUGCUCCCUCCCAACAGGUACCCAUCCGGGAAAACCUUCCGAGGCAGAGCUGAGGCCAGGCUGUGCCAGUUCAACAGCUUUGCUAUUGACCUGGAUGCAUCUAAGAUGGCCUGUGCUGAGUUUAGGGGUCAGACUGGCAGGAACGGCUGCUUCUCCACCGAGGUGCCGGCCACUUCCUUCAAGCUGAGCAACUGGGACUAUGGGCAUCAGCUCCAUGCUUUUGUGUCGCUGCUGGAGGAGGGCACUGGGAUGCAGCGUGCAGCGAACAAGAGCUGUGAGAUUGUGGAUAAAGAUAUCAUCAUCACAUUUGAAAGCAGUGAUAGAUUCUACAAGCCUGGGGUCCCCUACACUGGGACGGUAACAGGGGGGGGUUCCUGUGCCCUACAGGGCUCCU
ensembl:lncRNA